rnacentral:lncRNA from 1 species
CCCUCCGCUCCUUGGCGCCCGACCCCGCCAGCACACACCGGCUCCUCCGGGCGGUACAGCCCCCGCCCCGGGGCGCUCCCCGAGGCCCAGGCACACGCUCGGCGGAGGAGCAGAGGUUUGUAAAGGCGGGCCGGGGCAGAGCCGGGGGCUGAGCGGUCUGGUAGAGGGCAGCUCGGCGGGAUGGGACGGGAGGGGACGGGGCCGGCACCUGGGGAGCUGCCCCCGCCCCGCUCCGCGCAGAGGCCGGGCCGGGAGGUUGCCGUGUGUCGGGUGGGCGCCGAAUCCAAUUUGUCGGGAAUGAUGCUGUAGGCGGAGAUGAGAGGCAGAGCUAACGGGGCUUUUGCAGCCCCAGCGCUCGUCAGGGCAGAGAGAUGUAACGGCGCCCUAAUCCCCAGCUCUGCAGCGGGAAUGUCGGUGCCCCCGCUGGCGGCAGGGACGGGUGUCCCCCUCUGCAGAACGAAGGCGCCCGGGAAUUUCGCUGGACACCGACGAACGACUCCUCCCCUUCUCCCGCCCCGAAGUGCAGUUGAGUCUUCCUGGUGA